ACGACCAUAUCACGUUGAAACACCAGUCCCCGUACUAUCACCGAAGUUAAGCAACGUUAAGCCUGCUCAGUGCCUAGAUGGUUGACUGCUUGGAAAUACCAGGAGCUGUAAG